rnacentral:rRNA from 1 species
GACGAACGCUGGCGGCGUGCCUAACACAUGCAAGUCGAACGGAACUUCUUUAAAGGAUUUCUUCGGAAUGAAUUUGAUUAAGUUUAGUGGCGGACGGGUGAGUAACGCGUGAGUAACCUGCCUCUGAGAGGGGAAUAACAUUCUGAAAAGAAUGCUAAUACCGCAUAAUAUAUAUUUAUCGCAUGGUAGAUAUAUCAAAGAUUUAUCGCUUAGAGAUGGACUCGCGUCCGAUUAGUUAGUUGGUGAGGUAACGGCUCACCAAGACCGCGAUCGGUAGCCGGACUGAGAGGUUGAACGGCCACAUUGGGACUGAGACACGGCCCAGACUCCUACGGGAGGCAGCAGUGGGGGAUAUUGCGCAAAUGGGGGAAAACCCUGACGCAGCAACGCCGCGUGAAGGAUGAAGGUCUUCGGAUUGUAAACUUCUUUUAUUAAGGACGAAGAAAAGUAGACGGUAACUUAAUGAAUAAAGCUCCGGCGUAACUACGUAG